GACUUCCCGUGUGGCUCACAACAUAACUACUCGGCGUUGCUUCUACAGUGGCUGUGGCUCGACCCCUAGCCUGGGAACCUCCCAUAUGGAGGUUCCCAGGCUGGGGUUGAAUUGGAGCUGUAGCCACUGGCCUAUGCCACAGCCACAGCA
rnacentral:lncRNA from 1 species